UAAUGUGGAAAUGAAAAAUAAGUUUGUUGCAAAAGAGGUUCAAAUUGGCUCAGGUUUAACUGUGAUUUGGUCUCACCAAAUUCCUGUGUUUUUGGAAUACUGCAGAACAGCAUAAAAGAUUAUGUCAUAGCAUUAGGGAGAAAGGUUGCUGGUGGCAUAACAAAUUUUCCCAUCUCGGACCUCAAAAGCCACAUCACAAAUUGAAGAAUUUGUUUGCAAGAAAGCACAGACUGUUGAAAAAAACAUGUUGUGAAAAAAUGGACUUUUUUAUAUUUGCUCUGUGUGCGCGCCCGGAUGAUGAGCACAAAGCGGUCCUUGACAAAGGAAAGCUGGAUUUGUUGAUAGAUUAUGACAUAGGAUGGGGGAGAAUCGUGGACCUGAACAAUACUGUGAUAGAGAGGAAUUCCUACUCAAGAAAGCAGUUUAAAAAACGCAUUCAGUGUGAAAGAGUGAACUUUUUUAUUUUUGGCUUGUAUAAGAACAGUUUGUUUUU